CUUGUGGUGUUCAGUUGUGUUUUCUCGUAUUGACUUUGGCUUCGUAUUCUGACUUCGUUUUCGCUUUAUCCUUAUCUGUACUGUUUGCCGGCUUGCUGUUUUCCGUGUACCAGACCCCGGCUUGUCCUAGUUUACGCUGUCUCUCUGUGCCCUUGACCUCGGUUUGUUCCUGACUCUGUCUUCUCUCAUAUACGUCAAGUCCGGCCAUUCUAAGGUCCGGUAGACGUAUCUCUCCUCUGUAUUUGCCUCUGUUUAGCUGGAUCCUGCGUGUAGGGG
rnacentral:lncRNA from 1 species